AUAACAGGCUGGUUGUGCCUAAGCGUCCAUAGCGACGGCACAGUUCGGCACCUCGAUGUCGGCUCAAGAUAUCCUGGGGGUGAAGAAGCUCCCAAGGGUUUGGCUGUUCGCCAAUUAAAAUCUUACGCGAGCUGGGUUCAGACCGUGGAGGAUUCCAUUUUUUUAGCUUGCUAAAAGUUUGGAUUCUUCCACAAUCUGAAUCCUUAGAGGAAUUUUCGUUUGUGAAAUAAGAAUUAGUAGAUCAACCAAAUAACGGCGGCAUUUUGUGGUGACACAAAAUUGAGAAGCUGGGUAUUUCGGUAAAAUCCAUUUCUAAAAUGGACAAUGCCGAGGGCGAUUAUUAUCGCUUGUAGAGACUACAUACCAGCCAUCCAUCAAUAAUAUUAUUAGGGAUGAGCGCAUAGUCCGAACCUCUGAGUAAUUAGAGCAACAUAAGCGUGAGACAGGUUGGUCUCCUAUCUACUGUAGGCGUUGAUUCUUGAGAAGAUUUGCCCCUAGUACGAGAGGACCGGGGUGAACUGACCUCUGGUGUGUCUGCUGUCCUGCCAAGGGCACCGCAGAGUAGCUAUGUCGGGAAUGGAUAAACUCUGAAAGCAUCUAAGAGUGAAACCAACUUCAAGAUUAGGAAUCGUUUGAGGCCCGUGAGAGAUGAUCACGUGAUAGGCAUUAGGUGGAAGCACAGUAAUGUGUGGAGCCGAGAUGUACUAAUUAGCCGAUUUCUAUUAGGAA
rnacentral:ncRNA from 1 species